rnacentral:ncRNA from 1 species
AACGAGGAAUUCCUGGUAAGUGCAAGUCAUAAGCUUGCGCUGAUUACGUCCCUGCCCUUUGUACACACCGCCCGUCGCUACUACCGAUUGAAUGGUUUAGUGAGGUCGUUGGAUUGGUGUCGUUGUAGUGGCGUUGCCGCUCGACUGAUGCUGAGAAGAUGACCUAAUUUGACUAUUUAGAGGAAGUAAAAGUCGUAACAAGGUUUCCGUAGGUGAACCUGCGGAAGGAUCAUUAACAUAACCCAAAAAUAUAUAAUAAUGCAUGCACCUGGCUUCGUGCUGGGCUGUAUGUACCCUGGCUNGUGAAAUUCUGGGAUCGCCGCCAGACAAACUACAGCGAAAGCAUUUGCCAAGAAUGUUUUCAUUGAUCAGGAGCGAAAGUCAGAGUUUCGAAGACGAUCAGAUACCGUCGUAGUUCUGACCAUAAACGAUGCCAACUGACGAUCCGCGUUGGUUCUAUAAUUGACAUCGCGGGCAGUCCCCGGGAAACCUUUAAGUCUUUGGGCUCCGGGGGGAGUAUGGUUGCAAAGCUGAAACUUAAAGGAAUUGACGGAAGGGCACCACCAGGAGUGGAGCCUGCGGUUUAAUUCGACUCAACACGGGAAAACUCACCCGGCCCGGACACUGUGAGGAUUGACAGAUUGAUAGCUCUUUCUUGAUUCGGUGGAUGGUGGUGCAUGGCCGUUCUUAGUUGGUGGAGCGAUUUGUCUGGUUAAUUCCGAUAACGAACGAGACUUUAACCUGCUAAAUAGUAGACUGGUCCUCUGUGCUCGUUUAGGGCGCGGCUUCUAUUGCUUCUUUAUGGAGUAGUGUGGUCGUGAUCCGGCGGGUGCGGUGCCAGUUUUUACUUCUUAGAGGGACAAGCGGCACACUUAAGUCGCACGAAAUUGAGCAAUAACAGGUCUGUGAUGCCCUUAGAUGUCCGGGGCCACACGUGCGCUACAAUGACGGUGCCAGCGAGUCUGGAAACCUGGCCCGAAAGGGUUGGGCAAACUGUUUCAUCACCGUCGUGACUGGGAUCGGGGCUUGCAAUUAUUCCCCGUGAACGAGGAAUUCCUGGUAAGUGCAAGUCAUAAGCUUGCGCUGAUUACGUCCCUGCCCUUUGUACACACCGCCCGUCGCUACUACCGAUUGAAUGGUUUAGUGAGGUCGUUGGAUUGGUGUCGUUGUAGUGGCGUUGCCGCUCGACUGAUGCUGAGAAGAUGACCUAAUUUGACUAUUUAGAGGAAGUAAAAGUCGUAACAAGGUUUCCGUAGGUGAACCUGCGGAAGG